rnacentral:lncRNA from 1 species
AUGGCCAUGGGGCUUGGAGCCUGUGGGGACUGGCUCUCAGAUGAGCCAGGCUUCCAACAAGCUGCCUAAGGGGAAGUUCAACUCACACCCCACAAACCAGCUCUGGUCUUCAUCUAUGCCACUUUCAGCUAUACACUGCCAGCACUCCACAUAAGCUAGAGACCUGAACGCCUCGUAGCUUAACUCUUCAUGUUAAAAGCCUACUAAGAGGCCUGUGCAUGCACACACAGUUUACUUCCAUGUUUGUAAUGCACAAUAGCUGGGCUGGAUACAUAAGGAAGAGACCUAUGAGAACCUGAUACCUCACAACAAGGCUACCUUCCAAACCCAGAGGUCCAAGGGUUGCAGGGUUCCUCUGACCAUCUCACUGCAGGACUAGCAAAGCUGACAACCAGGUACAGGAUAAUCGACAAAGGCCAAGUGGUUCCUGAAGACUAGGAUGGCUCCUUGCUAGUCUACCUGGCACAGUAACCUCUUGUCACCCUCACCCAACUAGGAGCUGCCAAGGAGUUUCCAUUCUUCCUGACAGGCUAAGUCCUUAAGUAUGCAAAAUAUCUGCCUGGAUCUAUCCCUGCAAGCCAGGAUAUGUCUGAGGACCCUCAUUCCUUGAGCAGUUGGACUUGAACCCAAGCCAUCCAGGCCUCACCAAGCUGUAGGUCCCCACGUCUUACCUUGAUCGUGGCCCGCUCUGAGAAGAGUCAGCAGCUUCUUGUAGAGGCUGAAUGUUUUUAAGAUGACCUUCCCAGUGUUCUUGUUGAAAAUGGCCUCCUGCAAACCAAUAUAUGCUAAGCACACAGAACUCCAGGGAGAGGACGGAGCUUAUGCUGAGGUAUUAGCCCCACCCACACUGGUACAAAUACGCAAUUUGCCCAGGUGGAAAUCCAAAGUCUCCAGGACUCUUCCAGAGGUACCUUCUGUGCCUAACCUCUUGUACUCCUUGUGAGUAAGGGACACAUGAGAGAAAGCAGAUAGAAUGGGUGCUCUUCUCUCUUCCUGAGAGCAAGACCAGCCUGGGGAAUCUUGCCCAGCAGGUAUGAGGCCCCAGGUUCAACCCUAAGUACUGGGUAAAUAAAAGAACAAAAGGACAGGAUGGUAAUGAGGCCAUUAAGCAAAAAGCAGAAGCCCAGGCCAGGCAGCUUCAAGAAUUCUGAGAAGUCCAAGACUAAGGGAAGGGGGCAUCCCCAAAAGGUACCACCUGACUUUCCCCAGGCUCAGAUUCCUGUCUGCCAUUGUUAGGUGUACAGUGAGGACCUGGGUGGUCAGAGGAAGCCCCAAACCCCUGAACUUCAAAAUGUUCUCACAGGUCCCUGCCCUGUGGAACCAGCCCAGCCAAGGGACAUACAGACUUGUUGUAACAACCCGGGGGGGGGGGGGGCGCUACUGUGCGCCAAGUGGGGUGUUUUAUGCCCAUCAGAAGGUUGAGGCAAUUGGCUUUCUUUUGAGUUUGAGGCAAGCCUGCAACAUAACAAAACACACUACAUAGAACCUUAGUGAAAACUGUUGUGAGUAGCUUUUCUAGAAAAGUCCAGAGAUGUUUACAAGCAAAAUCAAGGGAAGGGCUGAGUCCAGGUAACUGAAUGCCUCUGAGCUGGGGCAGGUGCUUCUGAACGGGAAGGGUCCUACUGUUCCAUCUUACCUCCCAGUCUUCCAAGUUCUGUACAGCCACAAAUAGGCAGCCUGUGACAUAGAAGAGCUUCCAGCCCAGACUAUCUGCAAGCAGACAGUAUAUCAGCUCAUUAGCUCAGGAGCCAAGGUGAUGUCCAUAGGUGGUCCUUCCCAGCCCAACCUUUCUUUUGGCUCAGAUUAGAGGCUUAGGUAAUGUGCUUCUGUCACCGGAGCUACUUAAGCCCCAAACUCUGCCUAAUUCCACCUAGAGGAUGGGUAGAUCGAUACAGCCUUGCCAUGGAGAUGGGACACAUCCUCCCUGCAAGGUGACAGGCAAAUGCUAAAGAGCUUUACAAGAGGACUUUGUAACACAGUAAGAGAUUUAAGAUACAAGACAUGGCCUGGGAUCAUCUCCCACACAAGGCCACCCCAAAGCCACACACACCAAGACUGCUUUUUGUUCAUUUCCAAGUGCAAGGAAGCUGAAGGGGAGAACAUACUUUACCUCCACUGUAAUAGGCAGCAGCCAGGCCAGUGGAUAAUAUUCCUGUAGAGAGAGGGAGAGAGUACCUUGUUAACUAGCCAAGGGAAGACCCAUUUCUUCACAGUGCUAUAGCUGUCUCAUGGUAGCACAGCUUGUUCAGGGGCAACAGGUAGAGGCUACCUAGUACAGAGUUGGUGAGCCAGCUAAGAUGUUUGUUUCAAAACGGAGGAGAAGGGGACUGGAAAAGAGGGCUUACUGAUUAAGAGUAUAUACUACUUUUGCAGAGGACCCAGUUCAGUACUCAGCACCAGCACCCAUGUCAGGCCAUCGCAACCUCAUGCAACUUCAGCUCCAAGAGAGCUAAUGCUCUUCUGGAUUCCACAGGCACCUAUACGUACCUGCAUAGAACCCCCAUAUAGAUACACACAUAGUUU